CUCACACAGAAUGUCACGUUAUAUGAUAAGAAUGCCGUGUACCUCACACAGAAUGUCACUCUCUGUGAUUAGAAUGCCGUGUACCUCACACAGAAUGUCACUCUCUGUGAUUAGAAUGCCGUGUACCUCUCACAGAACGUCACUUUAUAUGAUUAGAAUGCCGUGUACCUCACACAGAAUGUCACUUUAUAUGAUUAGAAUGCCG